GAUCAUGGCUCAGGGUGAACGCUGGCGGCGUGCCUAAGACAUGCAAGUCGGGCGGGCCAUGGGGUUUUACUCCGUGGUCAGCGGCGGACGGGUGAGUAACGCGUGGGUGACCUACCCGGAAGUGUGGGACAACCCGGGGAAACUCGGGCUAAUCCCGCAUGUGGUCAUGUCCUGUGGGGCAUGAUUAAAGGGCCGAGUGGUCUGCUUCCGGAUGGGCCCGCGUCCCAUCAGCUAGUUGGUGGGGUAAAGGCCCACCAAGGCGACG
rnacentral:rRNA from 1 species